GCCGGGCGUGGUGGCGCACGCCUGUAGUCCCAGCCACUCGGGAGGCUGAGGCAGGAGAAUCACUUGAACCCAGGAGGCAGAGGUUGCAGUGAGCCGAGAUCGCGCCACUGCGCUCCAGCCUGAGUGACAGAGCGGGACUCUGUCUCAA
rnacentral:SRP_RNA from 1 species